rnacentral:lncRNA from 1 species
AUGGCUAUGACUUCGUUUACACAAUGAGUAUCUGUCAAGGAUUGAUUGGGUCCUUCAAAGAAUACUCAUGCUGGUACUGCUUUCAAGCAGGUUUCUGAGGGUUCUCGUUCGAGAGCCCAGGAUGAUGCUGGAAGAAGAUUGAUUUUUGCUGCCCAGAGAAUACCUGACCAUGGUCGGAAAAGGGUAGAAGGCAUACUGCUUAGAAUCCUAUACCGAAGUGGUCAGACUGACAGACCGAUCAAGUUAGAAAGAAGUCUACACUUUAAAAACAUGUCUCGAGGCCUUCCCCGGGAUCGAAGCAGACCCAACA